GAUGAAGAACGUAGCAAAAUGCGAUAAGUAAUGUGAAUUGCAGAAUUCAGUGAAUCAUCGAGUCUUUGAACGCACAUUGCGCCCCCUGGUAUUCCGGGGGGCAUGCCUGUCCGAGCGUCAUUGCUGCCCAUCAAGCACGGCUUGUGUGUUGGGUCCUCGUCCCCCCCGGGGGACGUGCCCGAAAGGCAGCGGCGGCACCGCGUCCGGUCCUCGAGCGUAUGGGGCUUUGUCACCCGCUCUGCAGGCCCGGCCGGCGCUGGCCGACGCGAAAGCAACCAUUUUUUCUCCAGGUUGACCUCGGAUCAGGUAGGGAUACCCGCUGAACUUAAGCAUAUCAAUAAGCGGAGGA
rnacentral:misc_RNA from 1 species